rnacentral:rRNA from 1 species
CACGGGGGGAGCAAGCGUUGUUCGGAAUCACUGGGCGUAAAGGGUGUCUAGGCGGUCAGGUAAGUGAGAUGUGAAAUGCCCCGGCUUACCCGGGGACCGGCAUCUCAUACUGUCUGGCUUGAGUAUGGGAGAGGAUGAGGGAAUUCCUGGUGUAGCGGUGAAAUGCGUAGAUAUCAGGAGGAACACCGGUGGCGAAAGCGCUCAUCUGGCCCAAUACUGACGCUGAAGCACGAAAGCUAGGGGAGCAAACAGG